rnacentral:piRNA from 1 species
UCACACACUGUGGUUGCUAAAUUAAUGU